rnacentral:rRNA from 1 species
GCCCAGACUCCUACGGGAGGCAGCAGUGGGGAAUAUUGCACAAUGGGGGAAACCCUGAUGCAGCAACGCCGCGUGAAGGAAGACGGUUUUCGGAUUGUAAACUUCUGUUCUUAGUGAAGAAGAAUGACGGUAGCUAAGGAGCAAGCCACGACUAACUACGUGCCAGCAGCCGCGGUAAUACGGAGGAUGCGAGCGUUAUCCGGAUUUAUUGGGUUUAAAGGGUGCGUAGGCGGAAUAUCAAGUCAGCGGUAAAAAUUCGGGGCUCAACCCCGUCGUGCCGUUGAAACUGAUGUUCUUGAGUGGGCGAGAAGUAUGCGGAAUGCGUGGUGUAGCGGUGAAAUGCAUAGAUAUCACGCAGAACUCCGAUUGCGAAGGCAGCAUACCGGCGCCCAACUGACGCUGAAGCACGAAAGCGUGGGUAUCGAACAGGAUUAGAUACCCCAGUA